rnacentral:rRNA from 1 species
CAGAGGCCCCAAGCGUUACUGAGAAUCACUGGGUUUAAAGGGUGCGUAGGUGGCGCGUUAAGUCCGUUGUGAAAUCCCUGGGCUCAACCCAGGAAUUGCUUCGGAUACUGGCGUGCUUGAGGCUAGUAGGGGUCACUGGAACUGACGGUGGAGCGGUGAAAUGCGUAGAUAUCGUCAGGAACGCCAAUGGUGAAGACAGGUGACUGGGCUAGUUCUGACACUGAGGCACGAAAGCGUGGGGAGCGAACGGGAUUAGAUACCCCGGUAGUCCACGCCCUAAACGAUGCAGACUAGACUGCAGCGGGUUACACCCCGUUGCGGUCGGAGCGAAAUUGUUAAGUCUGCCACCUGGGAAGUACGGUCGCAAGGCUAA